rnacentral:rRNA from 1 species
CCUACGGGGGGCAGCAGUGAGGAAUAUUGGUCAAUGGGCGCGAGCCUGAACCAGCCAAGUCGCGUGAGGGAAGAAGGUUCUAUGGAUUGUAAACCUCUUUUGUCGGGGAGCAAAAGACGCCACGCGUGGCGUUCUGAGCGUACCCGAAGAAAAAGCAUCGGCUAACUCCGUGCCAGCAGCCGCGGUAAUACGGGGGAUGAGAGCGUUAUCCGGAUUUAUUGGGUUAAAGGGGUGCGCAGGUGGAGGUGCAAGUCAGCGGGAAAAUUGCGGGGCUCAACACCGUACUGCCGUUGAAACUGCAUCCCUUGAGUGCGCGAGAGGUAGGCGGAAUGCGUGGGGUAGCGGUGAAAUGCAUAGAUAUCA